rnacentral:rRNA from 1 species
GAUGAACGCUAGCGGCAGGCUUAACACAUGCAAGUCGAGGGGUAGGGCAGCAAUGCCUGAGACCGGCGCACGGGUGCGUAACGCGUAUGCAAUCUACCUUGUACAGGGGAAUAGCCCAGAGAAAUUUGGAUUAAUGCCCCAUAGUAUAUUUGAAUGGCAUCAUUUAAAUAUUAAAGUUCAGGCGGUACAAGAUGAGCAUGCGUCCCAUUAGCUAGUUGGUAUGGUAACGGCAUACCAAGGCAAUGAUGGGUAGGGGUCCUGAGAGGGAGAUCCCCCACACUGGUACUGAGACACGGACCAGACUCCUACGGGAGGCAGCAGUGAGGAAUAUUGGGCAAUGGACGCUAGUCUGACCCAGCCAUGCCGCGUGCAGGAAGACGGUCCUAUGGAUUGUAAAACUGCUUUUGUACGGGAAGAAACCCUAUUACGUGUAAUAGAUUGA